rnacentral:rRNA from 1 species
UGCAAGUCGAACGAGAUCCUCCCGCUGGGCAACCAAUGGGAACGAUCUAGUGGCGAACGGGUGAGUAACACGUGAGGAAUCUGCCCCGAAGACCGGAAUAGCCCAGGGAAACUUGGAUUAAUACCGGAUACCCUCGUAGGACCGCAUGGUCUUGCGAGGAAAUGGUCCGCCGCUUCGGGAUGACCUCGGGUCCUAUCAGCUUGUUGGUGAGGUAACGGCUCACCAAGGCAAUGACGGGUAGCUGGUCUGAGAGGACGAUCAGCCACACUGGGACUGAGACACGGCCCAGACUCCUACGGGAGGCAGCAGCAGGGAAUAUCGCGCAAUGGGCGAAAGCCUGACGCAGCGACGCCGCGUGCAGGAUGAAGGCCUUCGGGUCGUAAACCGCUUUCAGUGGGGAAGAAGCGAAAGUGACGGUACCCACAGAAGAAGCCCCGGCCAACUACGUGCCAGCAGCCGCGGUAAUACGUAGGGGGCGAGCGUUGUCCGGAUUUAUUGGGCGUAAAGGGCUCGUAGGCGGCUUGGCAAGUCGGUCGUGAAAUUCCGGGGCUCAACCCCGGAACGCCGAUCGAAACCGCCAUGGCUUGGGUCCGGUAGAGGAGUGUGGAAUUCCCGGUGUAGCGGUGAAAUGCGCAGAUAUCGGGAGGAACACCACUAGCGAAGGCAGCACUCUGGGCCGGUACCGACGCUGA